ACAGAGCCAAUGCGGAAUCUGAAGGAAGCUGGAACCAAAUCGGUCACCUAAACGAAAGUGAACCUUCGUAAGGCAACCACAGUGGGUAAGGUGCCGUGAGCCACUUAAGCCCUAAAUUCUCACCGUAAACUGUGGCUGUAGUGAAGGUAGGUGGAUCGAGACAGUGGGGACU
rfam:Methylomonas methanica MC09, complete genome.